UAUGCUGAUUAUUCCUUUCUAAUUCGGUGUGAAAUAUACGUUUAGUUAUUAGAAUUAAUACUUAAUUAAAUGAUAAAUUAAGUGUAGAAAAUCGUUGAAAUUUAACAUUUUUUAAUUUCACGGUACAAAUUUCAACAUUAAUGCUAUUAUUAAUUAUUAUUAUUAAUUCCUUUAUAAGGUGAGGAGUUAAUGUUUCAGUAUUCAGUCUCCUGAAGGAUUUCAAGAUGAAAUUGUUUGUGUUUGUUCUGUCUGUAUUCGCCGUCAUGGCUGUAGUGCUUGGUCAGGGGCGUGUCCGUCGCAAGCUGGACAUCAGGGACCAUCCCGAGCGGUACCGCCCACAGGGUAACUUAUGCGGCCCCGAUGAGCCCUGUGCCAGAGGAUUUCUUCAAACAAAUUCAAUUCAAAUUGGUUGAAAGCUUCAGGUUUCUUUAUGAAAAUAAAUGAAGAACUUUUGUUAGUUAA